rnacentral:rRNA from 1 species
AGUGGGGAAUUGUUCGCAAUGGGCGCAAGCCUGACGACGCAACGCCGCGUGGAGGAUGAAGAUCUUCGGGUCGUAAACUCCUGUCGAGCGGGAAGAAACCCGCGGGGGUGAAUAAUCCCUGCGGCUGACGGUACCGCUAAAGGAAGCCCCGGCUAACUCCGUGCCAGCAGCCGCGGUAAUACGGGGGGGGCAAGCGUUGUUCGGAAUUACUGGGCGUAAAGGGCUCGUAGGCGGCCAACUAAGUCGGACGUGAAAUCCCCAGGCUCAACUUGGGAACUGCGUCCGAUACUGGAUGGCUUGAAUCCGGGAGAGGGAUGCAGAAUUCCAGGUGUAGCGGUGAAAUGCGUAGAUAUCUGGAGGAAUACCGGUGGCGAAGGCGGCAUCCUGGACCGGCAUUGACGCUGAGGAGCGAAAGCCAGGGGAGCAAA